rnacentral:lncRNA from 1 species
AUGAAUGGGUGUGGCUGCGUGCCAAUAAAACUUUAUUUUACAUACACAGGCAGAGGGCCGGAGCACCCAGCUAAGGAGACUCCAGGCCCUGAGAAGUCAAAGUCACUGGAGGUCUGUGAGCAGGAGGGUGACGUUGUGACAUUGCCAAAGAUGCGCCUGCCGCUAGUGGGGCCGUCUUCCCAGAGUCCAAGACCUGAGACAGACAGACGGAUGCAGGCCAGGGCAUCACAAGCACCUGGCAGCAUGUUGCCCAGUGGCCUCCAACCUCGCGAUGACCUGUCUGCACAGCAAAAGGCCACGUACAGCACGACCCCUGCCCUCAGGAAAAGGUAGGCUUCCAGAAGGAGUGUGCAUGUCCCUCCUACAAACAUUACAGGAGCUGCUUGUGGGGGUCACAUGAUCAGUGUGAACUGCAGAUUAAGUAAAGGUGAGUCAAAGAAUGCUAUUACUUUUUGCAAUGGCCCAUUAAUCUCUUAUCAGGAAGGAUUCCUUCCAUCAAAGCGUUGGUGGUUUCCUGCCCUAAAACGGUGCAGAUACUUUGCCAAAUCACGUUAUUAUGUACACCUAACGGCCUUGUGAAAACUGGUCCCCACAGAUGUGGAGUCAGUGGGUUUGCAUUAAAUACCUCAGUCACAAGCAUUUUCUCGAAAAAUUAACAUGUGCGAUUAGCGCAUAUGAGUGAAAUAAUCUCAUGAGUUCUUUUCUUUUUGCAUUUGAGCCACACCAAAAGAAAAUGCACCUUCAAGUCAAUUUCCAUCUCAGAACAGGCACAUGUGAAAAACAGCUGAACUUCUUUUUCCCCUCUUCAAAUUCUGCAAAAUGCACUCCCAGCUUUCCUUUCUAUGCCAAGUCUCAGAGCCGAGCAAAUUUUUAUGGUCUAGUUAUAAACCCUAGAAAAACACGGUUUAUAGGAAAUGUUGACACAACCUUAACUAAAGUGGUGCUAGCUGACACCUCUAUAUUUUCAAUUUGGGGAUUUCUACUGGGAAAAUAUAAACGCUAAUUCAGCAAAGGAAGCCAACGAUAAUAAAAAUGUUGUAGCCUUCCUGUUCA